GACGAACGCUGGCGGCGUGCCUAACACAUGCAAGUCGAGCGGGGUCCAUCCAGUGGCAACACUGGGGAAGACCUAGCGGCGAACGGGUGAGUAACACGUGAGAAACCUGCCCUGAAGUCUGGGAUAACCCGAGGAAACUCGAGCUAAUACCGGAUGCCCCCACCGAGUCGCAUGGCUUGGUGAGGAAGAUUCAUCGCUUCAGGAGGGUCUCGCGGCCUAUCAGCUAGUUGGCGGGGUAACGGCCCACCAAGGCAUCGACGGGUAGCUGGUCUGAGAGGACGAUCAGCCACACUGGGACUGAGACACGGCCCAGACUCCUACGGGAGGCAGCAGUGGGGAAUAUUGCGCAAUGGGCGAAAGCCUGACGCAGCAACGCCGCGUGCGGGAUGACGGCC
rnacentral:rRNA from 1 species